GAUGAACGCUGGCGGCGUGCCUAAUACAUGCAAGUCGAGCGAACAGACGAGGAGCUUGCUCCUUUGACGUUAGCGGCGGACGGGUGAGUAACACGUAGGUAACCUACCUAUAAGACUGGGAUAACUUCGGGAAACCGGAGCUAAUACCGGAUAAUAUUUUGAACCGCAUGGUUCAAUAGUGAAAGACGGCUUUGCUAUCACUUAUAGAUGGAUCUGCGCCGCAUUAGCUAGUUGGUAAGGUAACGGCUUACCAAGGCAACGAUGCGUAGCCGACCUGAGAGGGUGAUCGGCCACACUGGAACUGAGACACGGUCCAGACUCCUACGGGAGGCAGCAGUAGGGAAUCUUCCGCAAUGGGCGAAAGCCUGACGGAGCAACGCCGCGUGAGUGAUGAAGGUCUUCGGAUCGUAAAACUCUGUUAUUAGGGAAGAACAAACGUGUAAGUAACUAUGCACGUCUUGACGGUACCUAAUCAGAAAGCCACGGCUAACUACGUG
rnacentral:rRNA from 1 species